rnacentral:rRNA from 1 species
UACGUCCACACCUUUUAGGUGUGGAUCAGUUGACUGUCAUACUUCCAAGAAAAGCUCGAACUACUGUAAAGCAUCACGUACCUGUACCGUAAACCGACACAGGUGGGUUGGUAGAGUAUACCAAGGGGCGCGAGAUAACUCUCUCUAAGGAACUCGGCAAAAUGACCCCGUAACUUCGGGAGAAGGGGUGCCAAGUAACUCAAAUUGCUUGGUCGCAGUGACCAGGCCCUGGCGACUGUUUAUCAAAAACACAGGUCUCCGCAAAGUCGUAAGACAACAUAUGGGGGCUGACGCCUGCCCAGUGCCGGAAGGUUAAAGAAGUUGGUUAUUCACUCGUGGAGAAGCUGACGACUGAAGCCCCGGUGAACGGCGGCCGUAACAAUAACGGUCCUAAGGUAGCGAAAUUCCUUGUCGGGUAAGUUCCGACCCGCACGAAAGGCGUAACGAUCAGGGCACUGUCUCGGAGAGAGACUCGGUGAAAUAGACAUGUCUGUGAAGAUGCGGACUACCUGCACCUGGACAGAAAGACCCUAUGAAGCUUGACUGUAGCCUGGAAUUGGGUUCGGGCUCUUCUUGCGCAGCCUAGGUGGGAGGCGUUGAAGGCUUUCUUUUGGGGAAGCUGGAGCCAUCAGUGAGAGACCACUCUGGAGGAGCUAGAAUUCUAAUGGCGUUCCUUGAAGCAGGACGCUUGACAGUUUCAGGUGGGCAGUUUGACUGGGGCGGUCACCUCCUAAAAGGUAACGGAGGUGUGCAAAGGUUCCCUCAGGCUGGACGGAAAUCAGCCGUAGAGUGUAAAGGCAGAAGGGAGCUUGACUGCAAGACCUACAAGUCGAGCAGGGGCGAAAGCCGGCCUUAGUGAUCCGACGGUUCCAUGUGGAAGGGCCGUCGCUCAACGGAUAAAAGUUACUCUAGGAUAACAGGCUGAUCUUCCCCAAGAGUUCACAUCGACGGGAAGGUUUGGCACCUCGAUGUCGGCUCAUCGCAACCUGGGGCGGUAGUACGUCCCAAGGGUUGGGCUGUUCGCCCAUGAAAGCGGUACGUGAGCUGGGUUCAGAACGUCGUGAGACAGUUCGGUCCAUAUCCGGUGUAGGCGUUAGAGCAUUGAGAGGAGUCUUCCAUAGUACGAGAGGACCUGGAAGAACACACCUCUGGUAUACCAGUUAUCAUGCCAAUGGUAGACGCUGGGUAGCCAUGUGUGGAGUGGAUAACCGCUGAAAGCAUCUAAGUGGGAAGCCCACCUCAAGAUGAGUGCUCUCCAUUAGGUCACAGGAAGACAACCUGUUUGAUAGGCAGAAGGUGUAAGGCUAGUAAUAGUUUCAGCUGAUCUGUACUAAUAGACCGAUUGAUUUU